GAUGAAGAACGUAGCGAAAUGCGAUAAGUAAUGCGAAUUGCAGAAUUUCCGUGAGUCAUCGAAUCUUUGAACGCACAUUGCGCCCACUGGUAUUCCGGUGGGCAUGCCUGUUCGAGCGUCAUUAUCCUCCCUCAAACCCCGGGUUUGGUGUUGGACCCAAGUUGUGUGAAUAACUGGUCUCAAAGACAAUGACGGCGUCCGUGGGACCCUCGGUGCAACGAGCUUUUAGGAGCACGCAUCGAGUUGCAAGGACCUUCCGGGCCGGUCUCCUUUACCAUUUUACAAGGUUGACCUCGGAUCAGGUAGGAAUACCCGCUGAACUUAAGCAUAUCAAUAAGCGGAGGA
rnacentral:misc_RNA from 1 species